UAACACACACAACCCACACCCACCGUCACUCUUCUUCACCCUCUCAGCACACACACACACCCAAAGAAAGAAAAGGAACAGAGGGAACGGGGAGAGCAGAGGGGAAGGGAGAUCGGUAAAGAAAAAGAGAAGAGGGAGGAGCUGUGUCACCACCGCUGGCCUUGGGCUCGCCAUUCAUGCCUGUUGUUUGUUGCCAUUGAAGGAGGAGGAGCACGAACCAGAGCCACGAGGAGAGGGAGUCGCGCCGCCGUCCCUGCUCCGUCGUGGAUCAGAUCUGAGGCGAGGGAGAGGACAGCGAUGGGGGAAGGAGUCGCGCUACCCAGUCGCCAUCCGUGGGGAGUCGUCGUCGGUCUGCACGCCGCCAACGUCACCGGCGUUGUCGCGAGAAGGAGAGAGAGCCACGCCGGAGGAGAAGGACUGUCGCGGAGCUGUCCUUGCCACUGCGCCCAGUUGCUAUCGCGAGCCUCGUCACCGCUGAUGGGGGUGCGCCGCCAAGCUCCUGCCGCCGGAAAACCCCGCUGCCGUUGCUGAUGACCACUAUCGUUGUUAUAGUCACCGUCGCCGGAGUUCUGGUCGCCACUGUCGUUUGAGAUGGCUACCGGAGUUGUCGUUAGAUCAGUUCAGAGACCGUUGCUGUUUCGUUUUUCUUAUUUUGGUUUUUUCCUUUUCAGGAUAUGGCCGACGAAACUUCAGAAGAGUUAUAUUCAUUUUCUAUUUAUUCGAUAUUAUUUUGUAUUAUCUUUGUUAUUAUUUUUCCCUCGCCUUAUUUUUAGCAAUUUUUGCAAGAGGGAUAGGAAUUUUGAUAUGUGAAGUUUGUAUAUAUAUAUAUAUAUAUAUAUAUAUUUGAAAGUAUUGUAAUUUGUAUUGUCACAUAUGGACGUAUGUUUUGAAUAUUCGGAUUCAGUUUUAAACAGGCUCAUAUUUUAGUACUAAAUAUUUUAAGAGUUGUCGUAAUACUCGAGUUAUCAGAGUGGCGCAGUCGGAAGUGCGACUUUUGAUAGUUAGGGUGUUACAACAACGACUUCUAUAUAUAACUGUAAUAAGUAGGAGCAUUUACCUGCAACCCUUUUUGACUUUUUUUUGGAAAAAUCGGUAUAUCUUUUU